GGGAACCCAGUUGAGCACCGGUGACGUGGGUGAGCUGAAGGACCUAUGAGCGUGCCAUGGUGUGUGUGCAUAUGUGUCGUGUGCAGUAGUAUGUGUGUGUGUGUGCGCUUGCAUGCAUGUAUGCAUGUGUGGGUCAGGUGAGCAGGAGAGAACCUGUGUGACCAGAGACAGCGCAGCUGACCAGGAAGAGGAGCGUGUGAAAAAGAGGAUAUCUGACACAGGAGCCCUGUGGGAUCGUGACCCCCAGGUUGAGAACUGCUGAUACAGAUCAAGGGGACAGGCACAGUUCAAGGCCACCCUGGACUACAUGAAAUUGAUCCCAUCUAAAAGAGAAACAGAGCCCACACAAAGGUAAGGAAGAUUGUGUGCAGUGUGGAACACCCUGGAAACCAGAACGGAGACUGCAAUUCCUUGGCAAUGCAGAAGAGGCACACUGCUGCUGUGGAAGCCCAAAGGGAGUAAAACACUAGACUUCAUAGAAAAGGAGAGGCGCUCAGCCUGGUCCUCUUUGUAAAAGAUAUGAUUAAACAUGCAUGCACAGA